CAGGAUUUCUCAUCUGUGCGACGAACGUGCCCUGGUCUGAGUCUGUCGCGUUACGGAGAGUCAAGGAGAAAGCCCUGCCCUUUAGGGCGGGGAGGAUGUCCAGUGGCUUCC
rnacentral:misc_RNA from 1 species